CAGUCGCCGCGGUAAUACGAAGGGUGCAAGCGUUAAUCGGAAUUACUGGGCGUAAAGCGUGCGUAGGUGGUGGUUUAAGUCCGUUGUGAAAGCCCUGGGCUCAACCUGGGAAUUGCAGUGGAUACUGGGUCACUAGAGUGUGGUAGAGGAUAGUGGAAUUUCCGGUGUAGCAGUGAAAUGCGUAGAGAUCGGAAGGAACAUCUGUGGCGAAGGCGACUAUCUGGGCCAACACUGACACUGAGGCACGAAAGCGUGGGGAGCAAACAGGAUUAGAUACCCCCGUAGUCCCUGUCUCUUAUAC
rnacentral:rRNA from 1 species